UUUUAUGUGGUCCAUUCAGCAGAGGAUAAGAUGCUGAGGGACCCACAUCCUGAAGAGGCAUCAGAGGUAGUGAUGAUUCAAUGGUUUCAGUGUGCCGGAGCAAUUACAGGUUAGAGAAUACAGAACCAUGCACUGCAAUGUCUCAGAUAUUAGCCUGAUCGUGAGUUAAGAAAGGUGGACAUGAUUUACUAGGUUUGCAGUCUUAUCGCGAUUGAAUAUUGGUGCUACGCUGUUUCAGUCUAAACUCUAAGUUCUGAUUCUAUUACUAUAGAAUAGAAUGAGUUACGGGAUUGUUUUGAGAAUUCAGGACUUGAAACAGAAAGAAGGAAAUGAGCCUUCUUUUUAAUCACACCUGCCAUAUCACUUUCCUAUUCAUUCAUCUCUUGAUCAAGGUCAGCUCGCGGUCUUCUCUCUUUUCUAGAUUCUUGAUCUCGUACAAGAAAGAAUGGUAGUGAAAAAAAGAAGUCACUCUUCCUUGGCAUGUAGUAGGCUGUCGGAAAGAGGUGAGGAAGUUCUUCUGCUGACUUUCUUUGUUUACCUGAAUUGUCAAGUGCAUCAAACUCAAAUCAAUGUGCACACUGAGCGAGCCAAAGAGCGAAGUGUUGAGGUUAAAGCAUGCAUGUCCUUACAUGUCUCUUUCAACUCCGCUUGGUGAUCACUCAUGGCUAAUAGAGGUAGGUCGGUUCCUAAGCUAGCUAGUUUUGAGAUGUUCACUUAAGAUCUUGAGUGGGAUGGGCCAUCGACCUUUACGUAGGUGAAGAAGUAUCGUGAGGCCUUGUGACCUCUACUUAGAAGAGAGAUUGAUUUGGCUGCCCCAAAGAGCAAAAAGCCGAGAUAGGGAGGGAGGGCCCGGGGUCUUGAGUUAGCAGCCCUUCUGCUUGACAUACUUAAGCAGAUUAGCAUGUUGUCUCCUGAAGGAUAAGAUGCCCUCCAAACGAAACGGGCCGGGUGUUAAGCAAAGGUCUACUGGUGUGGUGGUUGUUCUAUAAGAACCAUUUACUCCCUAUAAGCACUCUAGCAAGGUCCAACUAUUGGCUGGGCAUUGACAAGACUUGGCUGGAGUGCGAAGAGUGCCACACAGGCCUACAUAGGGUGCACAAUCAUUUGUGAUGGAUGGACAAACAAGAGGGGCAGGUCCUUCAUUCAUUUUUUGGUGACUUGUCUUUGAGGUACGAUUUUUGUGAAGGCGGUAGAUGCUACAUUAGAUUAGAAGUGAAGGAUGCAAUUCUUCGAAUUAUUGUCUUCUUUUGUGAUGGAGGUAGGAGAGGAGUGGUGUAGGUUCUCACUGACAACGCAGCUUACCACUAUUCUAUUUCUUAGUAUGUUGCUUGCAGUAGGCAAGAAAUUGGAGCAAAUAGCCUGGUUCCUAUAGGCCACUCAUUGUAUAGAUUGACUAUUAUAGGACAUUGAUUGGACACCUUGAUUGGGUGAAGACGACUGUAGAGGAAGUGCGAGGCCUAACAAAAUGCAUUUAGAGGUCUUGUGCAUGGUCUGUUCCUAAAGUCAAGCGGGGGCAAGUAGAUUUGAUGCCCUGCCCCCACUAGAUUUGCUUCUGAGUUUCUUUUUGGCCGUGCAGUCUCUAUGCUAUGUGAACAUGAGGCAGCAUUGCGCAUGUUAUUUGCAUCAGUGGAGUGGUUGAGGUCCUUUUUUGGGACGAAAGCAGAGGGGGCCAGAAUGCGGGCCACAGUGGGGAUGGGUUCUGAACUGAGUGUAGGGAGCUUGUUAGUCUCACUGAACCUUUGGUUCGUGUGCACAGGAACCGACCGCCAUGGGAGACUUAUAUGAGGCUAUGGCCAAACCAACCCGGCAGGAACGCAUCCGAGAUUUGUGUGGCCCUGAUGAAGCUAAAUGCCGGAUCCUAUAGGAAAUCUUUGAUAGGAGGUGGACCGGCAUGCUCCAUAGACCUAUAUAUGCUGCAGGGGCUUACCUGAACCUAGACUUUUGUGAUAAAGACUCAAUUAAGGAUGACCCGGAGUCAGGGCCUCUAUUCAUGCUUGGUAUGGCCCACGCAGCCUAUUUUCCACACGAUUGUGCUGCAGUUGACCAGAACUUAAAAGGGAGAUGGGAGCAUUAUCAUUCGAUGAGGUCGUGCAAGCCAGGAAUCUGUACACGCCCGAUUUCUAACUGUCAUUGAGAUCAAUCAAGAAAGUCAGGUUUAUGAUGUUUUUGUAAUUGUCUUGUACAGACAUAUGGUGGGAGUUCUACUGCGGUCAUGUUCUUGAGCUGCAGAGGUUUGCAAGGCGGGUGUUAUCACAAACAUGUAGCAGCUCCAGUGCUGAACGCAACUAGAGUGUGUUUUCUGUUAUACAGAGCAAGAGAUCGGGUUGGAUCCACGUUGAAUGACCAGGUCUUUGUCCACGUAAACACCUGUGGGCACGAAAGAAGAAAAAGGGAAAAAAGAUGCUCGAAGCUAUUCUAUUGACCUUUCAGAGAUAGAUCCCAAAUUGACUUACGAGACUUAGUUUACCCAUGAGUUUGUUCAACGAGAAGAACUGCGGAUGAAGCACGAUCCCCGUGGCCUCCUCCAUCCCCAGUAGGGAGGCAUGGACUUCCAGACUCCUUGAUACAGAUGACACAUUCCUCAAUACAGGUGCCACAUUCAUGGAGGACAACACAUUAGGGGAUUUGGGGAUAAGCACGGAGGAGAAAUGUGAGUCUUCGAGUAGGAGAUUCUAGUUCACAGCAAGAUGCAGGCACUC
rnacentral:lncRNA from 1 species